rnacentral:piRNA from 1 species
UGCCUGGAACCCAGCUCCAGAGGAUCUGAC